GUCUACAUAGAUUAAUGUAUAAAUCGCGAUGCUGUUAACUUCGAGAAAGAAAGUUUAUUUCUUGUAGUCG
rnacentral:tRNA from 1 species